UGGUGUGUAUCAGAACCGAUCAGGACCGGACCUGACGGCUGCUCCGACCAAUCAGGAUGAAGCUGGGGAGUCAGGUGGCGGCGUGGCGGCGCUGGUGGUCACUGAGGCGGAUCAGGCUCGUCGAUCAGCAGCAGUUCCUCAGAGAGCAGCAAGGCCUCCGGACCUGGUGAUCCCUGCAGCCAUUAGUGUGAGCAAUCUGAUCUCUGGCAGCGAUGGAGGAGACGCAAACUUCUCUGACCUCCCGUCUCCAAGGAGCGAUUCUUGCUCUGUGACCAGCGAGCUGAACAUCUCCAGGAGGAGUGAAGAGGACGAUACGAGGAGUGUCACUGCUUCGUCUGUCAUGGGGUGAACCCUGCAGUGUAAAUGUUUGCUGAGCAUCGUUUAGCCGCCGGCUUCCAAACAAGCUGCCCCCAAACCGUUCCCAUGACGAUACCCCGUAAUCACCGGCGUCUGGGACGCAGGCCGGCUGCUCAUUGGCUGCGACAGCCUCCCACUGCUGUCAGACUGGAACCAGCAGGGUAACUGGAAAUGAGCGGAGGUCGGCUCUGGAACCUGCUGCUGUUCAGUCAGAGAGCUGACUGCUUCUGUUACCUCACUGCAAAAACACAAAGUAUUACCAAGUAUUUUCAUAUAGCUUAUACUGCAAUAUUCCUUAGUUUUGUCUUAUUUCAAGUAUACUACCUUAUUUCCAGCAAGAAUAGGAGCUCUUUAAGUCAAUAAUUCAUUAAUACUGAUGAAAAAGUAUUAGUUCCAC